rnacentral:rRNA from 1 species
AACUAUGGACAAUGGGGGAAACGCUGAUCCAGCCAUCCCGCGUGUAUGAAUAAUGCCUUCGGGUGGUAAAGUACUUUUGGCAGAGAAGAAAAGGUAUCUCCUAAUACGAGAUACUGCUGACGGCAUCUGCAGAAUAAGCACCGGCUAACUACGUGCCAGCCGCCGCGGUAAUACGUAGGGUGCAAGUGUUAACCGGAAUUACUGGGCGUAAAGGCUGUGUAGGCGGUUCGGAAAGAAAGAUGUGAAAUCCCAGGGCUCAACCUUGGAACUGCAUUUUUAACUGCCGAGCUAGAGUAUGUCAGAGGGGGGUAGAAUUCCACGUGUAGCAGUGAAAUGCGUAGAUAUGUGGAGGAAUACCGAUGGCGAAGGCAGCCCCCUGGGAUAAUACUGACGCUCAGACACGAAAGCGUGGGGAGCAAACAG